rnacentral:rRNA from 1 species
UACCAGAUACGCCCGCCGAGGUCCUCGGACCUUGCGGAGAAACAAUGGCCUCUGCUUGCAAGCUAUUGCUCGAGGAUGGGCCCGCGUCCCAUUAGCUAGUUGGUGAGGUAACGGCUCACCAAGGCAAUGAUGGGUAGCUGGUCUGAGAGGAUGAUCAGCCACACUGGGACUGAGACACGGCCCAGACUCCUACGGGAGGCAGCAGUGGGGAAUUUUGGGCAAUGGGCGAAAGCCUGACCCAGCAACGCCGCGUGCAGGAUGAAGGCCCUCGGGUCGUAAACUGCUGUCGGGAGGGAAGAAAGGCGGUGGUGGAAACACUGCCAUCGCGUGACGGUACCUCCAAAGGAAGCGCCGGCUAACUCCGUGCCAGCAGCCGCGGUAA